CCGCUCCUGCUCCAGCGGCACAAUGUGAUCCACCACAAGGAGGGACGCCAAUAAGGAGGUAGAGGCAGGAGGAUCAGAAGUUCAAGAUCAUCUUUGACUACAUAGCAAGUUUGAGGCCAGCCUGGGAUGUGAGAUCUUGUCUCAGAAACAAACAAAUGAAGCAUGGUGACACCUGUCUGGAGACUAGCAAGAGUCAAGAAGCAAUGAAACAGACAAAAGCCCCAGCAUGGAUGAAGACUGCAGCUGCCGGUGGGACACACAGGUUGCUGGUUUCCACCUAGCACCUGGAAGGUGUCAGCGUAUGUCCUUUGAUGGUACUUUUUUCUUUCAAGUACAGCCUAGUUGGUAAGUCUGCCACCCUGAUGGCUUAGAAAUGCCCAUGGCGGCUUGUCCAGCUGAUGUCUCCAGCCUGGCUUUCCCAGCGCCCAUCACGAGUGACAACACAUGCCUCUUAAUCAGAGCAUCAAGUGAUUCUGUCAACAUCACUGCACUUGUUGUUUUACUGCAUAUCACCCCUUUGAGGCCCACUUGGAGCUUCCUGCCAGUCCUUGGCUCUUUUCCAAAGGCCUGACUAAUUUCCUGUGCUGAAGGCCCAGCCUCCUUAUCAGGGGAGCCACAAGUUUAGGGAGUCGGAGCCAGUUUCAGAGUGUCCCUUCCAGGCGCUUUGCAGCCACAGCUUGCUCAGUACUCUAAGAAGAGGGCUGCGGGAUGAUAGGAGACCCAAAUCCAGGCCUCAAUUCUGCCUUUAUCCCCAGUAGAUGUGUCUUUGUAAAAGCCAGUAACAUUUCAGUGUCUGUAGAACAGCAAUUGCAAACAGGAGGCCAAGGAAGGAGUCCUGGCCUUGGAGCGGGCUGAAGUUACAUCCGAAUCUGAACUCUGCUGCCCCUGGCUUGCAACCUGGCCCUCGAGGAGGAGGCAUCUCUAGUACAGGAAGGAAAAUGUCAAGGAAGCAGCUGGGAUGCCAGCAGCACCAUUUACAGAACUGUACUGAGGACCCACAUACCAAGCACAAGGAAAAUCUGCGCUGUGGUUUCCAUGCUUCAAAGAUGCGAGUCUGUGACAUACAAGUACCAUCAUUAAGGCUGCGUGAAAACCCACAGGUCAUCCUUCUAGCACAGCAAAAACCUCAGAACCACAAAGGGCCACAAAUUGCCAUUUCGUGCAAAUGCGCCCUCUGUGACAGCCUUGGCUCGCUAGCUUCCUGGGGGCACCAGAUCACCUGCCAAUUAUCUAGAGC
rnacentral:lncRNA from 1 species